rnacentral:lncRNA from 1 species
AUUUAUUUAUAAGUCCUCUUCACACGUUCAUUCUUGAUAAUUCCUCGCACCGUUCUCUCUAUCUGUCUCACACACAAAUGCACAUGCAUGUUUGUUAUAGGUAUAUAGUAAAUCUUGUGUCAACAAGUCUCAACUGAAGUUUUGUUCAUUUGAGCAAAGAGGUCCCUUUACUUGAAAGAAAAUCUUCAUCUCGAAGGGUAGUAGGAGGAUUAGUUGCUUUCUCAAUUCAUUGUGAAAGAAGCUUUAUCUUAGCUUUUACAAAUAAAAGAAACACCCAACACGAAGAAACCCUACAAAUUUUCUUUGAUUCUCAAUCUUCUCGGCCCGUUGCCUUCCAUGACUACUCACCAGAGACUCCCCUCGAACCUCAGUUCAGUCAAAUCUAGGUUUACAUAUCGGUUCCUUAAAUCCCUGAACAAACUGAAAAAGAAUAGAUCUGCUUCACCAUCUAUCAGAGAGACUUACAGAAGAUAUCAUUUGAUUAGGGUUGCCUCCUAUGCAUCGAUGGCUUCCGCGGUAAGACCGAGGAGAGCUUGGAGUCAUGCGACUCUUUGGAAGAUUCGUAACCGUACAUUUCACCGUGCUUUGAUGAAACGAAGCCGAACCCAUUCUUCAAUGAGAAGAGGUGCAAGAGGAAACCCUAGAGAAGAGUUAGGUUUUGGGCAGGUAAGUGAUCUUCGGAAGCUUGUGCCAGGCGGUGAAGAAAUGAAAUUUUGCAGAUUGCUGAAUGAAACUGCUCACUACAUAAAAUGUCUUCAAGCCCAAGUACAGAUCAUGAGGAACAUUAUAGAUCAUUCUUCCACUUGAGCUGUACUUUCAUCCAUAUAUCGGUAAAAUUCCAUGUGAAGUAGAUGACUUGGACAUCGUAUUACAUAUAUUAAAUUUGCCCUAAAUCUCUUAGGAUCAUUAUAUAUAUUUUUUCAAAAAUGAUUUCUUAAGCAUCGGUGCUUAACAUGGCACAUCAUUUAAUUGGUGAAUAAGUUAAUGGUAGAUUCCAUGUAUUUAAUGAUUCACCGAUUAAAUGAUGUGGCAUGUCACCGAUACUUAACAUAAGCUAAACACCGAUGUUUAGGAGAUCGUUCCUCUAUAUAAUUCUUUUAUAUGUAUUUUAAAUAAAUUAUGGCGUACAGUUAUAGGAAUAUGGUAGUUAUAUAAUUUUGUCCAGCUCUUAAUUUCCCGGCUGCUGAAUUUUCUGUCUUAGUAAUUUUAUUACUGUUGGUUUCUAUAAAAAUUAUAUGGUUUGUUGUAUAUCGCUCCGGUCUCCAGCAGCCCAAGAUGUCUUUUCAAGAUCUGCCAAGAAAAUAGAGUAUAGUGGGCGUGUAGAUGUUAAAGUGGGAUCGGCCAAAUUAUGUAAUUCAAUCCCGUCUUUAUUGUACUUUAUAUAUUUUGAUUAUUAAUACAAUUAAAUUGCCACAAAGAGCGGCUUAAAUUAAAAUAAUGAUAAAAGACUAAACUCCCCUAAAGUGGA